rnacentral:lncRNA from 1 species
ACAGAUGAGUGUAAAAAUGAAAAUGACUGACGACAUAAAUCACUUACAUAAAUAUCACCUUUGAGUUUCAAAUCAGGAAAUUCCUAGAAUAAAAGUAUCCUCCUGACUUCACAGAGACCAUUGAAACUAAUAAAAAUAACUUCAACCCCACAGCAAACCUUUGCAAUUAUGCCACAUUAUGAUUCUCCUCAUACUACGAAAUAGACUAAACAUGGAAGAGCUCAAGGAAAAGUGACUUUUAAAAAAUAUGGCUCUCUUAUCUGAUUAGAUUUCAUAGAUUGUCAGAGGCAAAAUAUCUUUAUACAUUUUUGUCACUAGAAUUGGUCUUAAGAUGUUAGGCUUCCACUAUGUAAAUCAAAAGUCAAAAUUCAUCAGUGCCAUUAAUCUGUUAAGGCAAAGCUUAUUCGAAGUGCAUGUCUUCAUAAUCUUUAAGUAAUAAUUCUUUUGGAAAGUUUUUAGACAGCAGUCAAGACUGGAAAUAUAUAUACCCGUUUUUUACUCAAGACUUGAUCACAUUUAAGGGACUUUAAUCUGGUGAGGAGGGAGGAUUUCAAGUAAUGUUUCUUGGAUCACAAUGGUUCUGGAAGUCUAAGUAGUUCAUAAUUCAGAUCUCCUACAUCUUUUCUCAAUUGUGUUUCCUUGACUUCAUUCACCAUUGUAGCUGAACACUUGACUGUAAAGUCAAUACCCAGUCAAAAUGUGGACUUAACACUGCUAGCGAUCAUGAUAAAACAUAUUUGGUCAAUUUUGACUAAAAUGUCAAAUGAAUGUUUUAUAUUUAGAGCUAGACCAAGUUGUAAUAACUAUCAUCCAAUUCUUAUUCUCACCUCACUAAAAUUUUGAAAACUUUGACUUCCUGAAGAGCAACAGCUAAUUAGAGGCAGAGUUCUAACAAAAGCCUGAGUCUCCCACUCCUAUACAGGGCUCUAUCCAAUAUAUUAGGUUGCUAUUGAGGAUAAUUCUAGCUCUAAUUUUCCAUGAUUAGUUUUAAAGCAUAAUCACUUUCUAUACAUUCCAGGGAAACAUCUUUUUCCUUACUAAAAAUAAUCAUCUCUGUAAGGUAUAUUUCUAAGUUUUAUUAUUUUAAUAUAUUUUUAAAAUUGUCCAUCUGAAUUUGUGAAAAUUUGACUCUAAAGAUUCAAAACAACAAAGCAACAGUAAAAUAAAUGAAUAAAUAAAAUUUUUAAAAACCCACCUCGAUCAGUACCACAAUCACCAAAAUAUGAGUUAUUUUCAAGGAAACUAUUUAUUAACUUUAAUUAGAACUUUCUAAGUGACUUUUAAUUGAUACUCUAACUGUAUCCCAUACCUUAAAAUAAUGCACAUGUUUAGCAUCAACAGGAAAUGUUUAUUGCAGGUGACAUUGAAACAUGUUAAUGAACAUGAUCCACGUACAUGAGGUGGGGAAUAAAAUCUUUGUGAAUCACAACACCCUCUAUUCCCAGGACUCUCAAUUAUAACCAUAUCUGAAUCUCUUAGUCCAAUAAUAAUUGAUUUAAUAAUAGAUAUCCUAAAGCAAUUAAAACACUUGAGUGCCUCUGAACUUCACAGAUAAACUAAAUAGUGUUGAACAUAUUUUUGUGUUAUGCUCAUUUCAAUAUAGGCUAAUCUUUUGAAUGUACAAUCAAUCUAUAUUACAUUAUGAUAUCUUAUUAAUAUGAAUAUCUGAUUCCCCAGAACAUCUACCUAAAUAAUAGCCAAAAGUUUAUUGCAAAGACUGUUUUUCUCUAUAGUAUGUACCUCCAUGAUUUUUUUUCUUAGAUGUUGAGGAGGGCAUUGCAAUUUGGGGGAGUAUUUCAACUCUGCAGUGUGCCAGUUUCUAAUUUGAUGCAGAAUGACAGCUAUGUAUUUCCAUAAAUGUAUGAGCAUUUUGAUAUGAAACUGUUAUUUCUCAUCUGAAGUCAUAAUUGUUCAGUGUGAAAGUAGGACAUGGGAAUGAUAAUAAUAAUAAUUUGCCUUUUUGAGAUCAUGGCAAUAAUAAGCAUAAUUUUCAGAGCUGCAUAUAAGCGAAAGGAGCUUUGCCUAUAGGCAGCAUGACAGGAUGGUUAUUGGGGGAGGAAGAUUAUGAAUUGCUGACAGGUGGAUUACCCAUUUUUGCAGCCAUCUUGCUUCUCUGCCCUUUCUUUCUGCAUAACUACAGCCUCUAGCCAGCUACCUGCCACUGCUUUACUAGAAACUGUGACAAAGAGAGCAAAAUGGAGGUCAGUUUAGGAAUCUCAAAGGGUUAAUACCUUUUUUUAUAAAGCUUGGUAGCAUGACCAUUUAGUUGUAACAUGCCAGUAUUUUUUUUUUUUUUAAAGCAAUCUGUUUUCUUUAGAAGAAUCCAUUUCUCUGGGUUGUCAAGAAGUAAAAAGGGUUUUUUGCUGUUGUUAAAUGAUGUUUUAAAAUCCUGUCCAAUUUAUGUUAAAGAAGGUAACUAGAAUGAUUGAGACUGAAAGACAGCGAUACAUGAAAAGGAAUAAAAGAACACAGGAAGCAUAAGGUCUGGCAACAACCAUGAUAGUUGUUUGGCUGCUAGUAGCAGUAAUAAGGACUAGUUGUACUGGUUGAGAAAGCUGUCUAAUUCAGAUGCAUCCAAUAAAAUACACAUCCUUCAAACGAGAUACGGUAUAUAAAUAUAUACUUUCAAAAGCACUAUCACCAACUCCAAUUCUGAAUGACUCAGAAAAAAUUUUAAAUUCUUCAAGUUCAUAGACUUAGGAAAGAAUGUGUUGAACUGCAGAAAUCAGUAGAGAUUUUUCUAAAAGUAAAACGUUCAGUUUGUGUGUGUGUGUUUGAUUGGGUAAAAUUAUAUGAGUUCAUUGGGCCUCUGUAUCACUUUCUGGUGACCUAGUAGUCAUUUUUAGUUACUCCAUUUAGUUAUAAAGAGCAUAGAGUAGGAAUAUGCCUUUAAUAUUCUGUGUUAACCUGGACUAUGAGAGGAAAUUCCCUUUUAAAAGUGAUAGUGUCGCCAUUCAUCCAAGGUGUUCAAACCAAAAUAUCGACCCUCAUUUCUGAGGCCUAGCCCUUGGUUGUUUUUCAGAGGAUGGUGAGAGGUUAGUUCAAAACCACCCACACACACAGGUCUAGUUCCUGGGUGAUCAACAGAAUGCAUGUGUGAAAAGGUUGCUUGGACCAAAGAUGCAGCCUGUGCCUUUGGUUCAGGGAUUCCCCUCAGUGCAAAAUCUAACCUGCUUUUAUAGAUAUUACAUUAGCAUCAUGCACAAAAUAUUCAGCUGCCUUACUCUUGAACCCUUUUUCCUGACUCCAAACGAGUAUUCUUUGGAGAUAUGAAUGUGUGAAAGGUGGUCAUUUAUAUAAACCUGGAGAAAUACAAGGAGAUAGGAUUGAAGGAAAAUUCUUAUUGCCCUCUGAUCUUGAAGGACAGUUGAUUUAUUAUUAUGAAAUAACAAAGAACUCUUAAGGCUGAAACCUUUUUUGCCCUACUUCAACCUGAUGGGAAGGUUUCCUUCCAAGUUAUAAACCCAUCCAAAGUGUGGCCUUUAAUGGAAAACUGAGAGCUCUUUCACACAUGGCGGUUGGAGCCACUGCACUAAUAAAAGGCUUCAUUAAAAUAGGGUCAGAAUCAGUGUGCCAUGACAAUUUUCAGCUACAAAUUGCAAAAGAAUUGGUUGCACCUAUAAUGAGAGUUCAAUUAAAUUACCUUGGUUUUCCAAGAAGGAAAUUAAAUAUUGAAUCCAUCAUUGAGUGUUUAUCUUGAAGGGAAUAAUGUAUGGACUGGAGAAGAGUUGAGAUAAGCAGACAUGGCCUCUUCUCUAAUUAUUCUUUACUGCUAAGGACCUGCUCUCCAACCAAAACCUUUCUCCCUCCCUGUCUAGUUCUGUGAGAAAUACGAUGACACAAGACCGCUUGUCCCACACAACACAGGGAUGUUGGAAAAGUUGACAGGAAAUGUCAGUAAAGCACUCUCUGAACACAAUAGUAAUAUUGUACACUGCUUUUUCUCCGAGCUAUUGAUCAGAUGCAACAGCCUAAGUAACCAAAAGUAGCAAAUACAUAACGCUGAUCUCUCAUCUCCCACCUGGGAGUAUUGUACACUAUCUCCCUAGACUCUCUUUAACUUGAUGUGGUAUUUUGUUGGAUUUUCAAGUUAUUUGAACAAUCUGAAAAUCAUUUAAAAUAUUUAUAAAACAAAAGACUUUUAAAUCCCUACAGAGUAUUGAAUUUGGUCAAAGCACUAUCAUAAAAUAAUGUAUCUUUUUCUUAUACAUUAUGUCCUUUGCCUAGUGCAUCCCUUUUCCACUGUGUGCCUGGUUUGACUUCUAUAUUUUCCUACAAAAUUCCCAAAUCAAGUUUUUCAUGGCUGAAACAUCCUCAAACCUUGAAUGGUGGGGAUAAUUUGCUCCUGGCCAGUGUCCAGGGCCAUUUGCCAUCCUCCCCAGCACAAUCCCAAAAUUUACCACGACAGUGGGUGUGAGUGGCUCUCCUGGGAACUCUUCUUAAAUCCAACACUUUCAAAUUUAGAAAGGUUGGUCCUUUCUAUUACCAAGUGCUCAAAUGAAAUCCAAUUAUAUCAUUCCUAAAUAAACCCUAUAGCUCUGUCCUAAUCAAGUCACAAUAAUGCCCAUCAUGCAGAAAAGACAAAAUUGCUUCUAGCACACUACCUCACACCUAGCAGUGAGUAAUAAAUACUUGAUGAAUGAAUAUGAAGGAAAAUGCACUAAGUGGCAGAAUCCAUAUUCUACAGCCAAGGUCAGGGCAAUUACAUUUUAGAAGCAGGCUUCACAGGGAAGUAACAGUAACCAGCAUCACUGUUCUAGUGAAGCACGUCAAUGGAAUAGUUUUAUUAUGGAAAUUUGAUACUUGAGAGAAGUCAGCUGUUUUUACUUUAUUUAUUUUAAAUAUAUCUUAAAUCAGAAUUUUUAUACACAUUUAAAUGUUUUUGCAAUUGCCUUAUUUUUCUGUACUUUGUUUUAGUACUGUACUAUACAAAAAUACUGUACUGCUUGGACUUGUGAACACAGACUACAUGAUAUUUUCUAUGCUAUCACUUCUGAUAGUCCCUGACAUCUCUGUUCUCUGUUUUCACUUUAUAUGGCUUCUUUUUUCAGAUAUAUUGGGUUCUUUCUAAAUGUAGGUUGGCAAGAUGAAUGGUGAGAGGAACAAAACAUUAUUAGAAUUUCCCUGUGUGUGCUUAGUAUCUGUCAUUUCCUUUUACCUUUCAGAAUAGCACUGUUAGGUAACUGGUAGUAACCCCAGUUUACAGAUGAGAAAACUGAGUAUCAAAAAUGUAUGUAUAAGUUCCUGCAGGCUAAAAAGUGUCAGGACAGCAUUCAGAACCAGGAAAAGACAUAACAACAACAACCAACAACAAAAAUGACAAGAAAUGAGAAAGAAGCUGUUAUAUCAUAGCAUCUGUAGAUUGGAACAGUUGCUGUCAUUUCCAGUUGCUGUACACUUGUGGGAUUCCUACCCAGCUCUAUAUCCAAUUAUGGAUCAGGAACCAAGAGAUGAGAAAGUCUGAGAUGACAUAGGAAGGUGAGUGAGCAGAUAGAGGGGAAGGGAAAGUGAAGAGUACCCAAGAGUUACUGCCAUAACCAACAGGUUUUAAGCAACUCAGAAGAUGUAUUGUCCUUGACAGCCAUUGCAGUAGGUGGCGAUAUUGUACCACCUUGAAAAGUUGGGAAGCAUUCUUCUUUUCUUUAGUCUCUGAAGUUAAUCUGUACUGAAGCUAUGUAUUUACUGGCCUCCUACCACUUUUAUACCUACAAGUUGCAUUAAUUUUUGACCCAAUCUGAGAUGCAGAUAGGAAACAGGUAUCUCCCAUCCACAACUCUCCAAAAAAUCAGUUCCAAAAAUUCAAGAGCCCUUUGGCUCUCCACCUAGAUGUCUCCUAGCACCUCAAAUCCAACAUGUCCUAAAUUGAAUAUAUUUCCAACCUCAGGAUAUUUAUAUCUCUUUUCUGACUUUUAAAAUUAGAAAUAUCCCUAUUCACCCAGUCAUCUAAGCCAGUUAUCUGGAUAUAAGCCUUGUGGGCAAUGAAAUAGUGGUUAAGAGCAUAGCUUUUAUAGUACGUGGGUUAUGAGGUCAAAUUGUAUGGUUUGGGAGUUCCCAUCAUGGCUCAGUUGUUAACGAAUCUGACUAGGAACCAUGAGGUUGCAGAUUCAAUCCCUGACCUCACUCAAGGGAUUGAGGAUCUGGCGUUGUCAUGAGCUGUGGUGUAGGUCACAGAUGUGCCUAGGAUCCCACAUUGCUGUGGCUCUGGCAUAGGCCAGCAGCUGUAGCUCUGAUUAGACCCCUAGCCUGGGAACCUCCAUAUGCCACGAGUGUGGCCC